GACGACGCUGGCGGCGUGCUUAACACAUGCAAGUCGAACGGUGACGAGGAGCUUGCUCCUCCGAUCAGUGGCGAACGGGUGAGUAACGCGUGAGUAACCUGCCCCAGACCCUGGGAUAACAGUUGGAAACAGCUGCUAAUACCGGAUACGAGACGGAGAGGCAUCUCUACCGUCUGGAAAGAUUUAUCGGUCUGGGAUGGACUCGCGGCCUAUCAGCUUGUUGGUGAGGUAAAGGCUCACCAAGGCGACGACGGGUAGCCGGCCUGAGAGGGCGACCGGCCACACUGGGACUGAGACACGGCCCAGACUCCUACGGGAGGCAGCAGUGGGGAAUAUUGCACAAUGGGCGAAAGCCUGAUGCAGCGACGCCGCGUGAGGGAUGACGGCCUUCGGGUUGUAAACCUCUUUCAGCAGGGAAGAAGCGAAAGUGACGGUACCUGCAGAAGAAGCACCGGCUAACUACGUG
rnacentral:rRNA from 1 species